GUGUUCAGCUGCUGAAGCAUACAAAACAUGACGUCGUGCACUCCCUCUGUGUGCUGCCCAAAACUCAGCAUGACCUUAGCUCCUUCGUGGUGGACAUAUGGUUCCAGAUGGAGAUGAUGCUCUGCUUCUCUGUCAACGGAGUGUUCAAGGAAGUGGAAGGAAUGUCUCAGGAUUCUCUUCGUGCCUUCACCAGGACCUUCAUCGCUAACCCUGUCAGCAAUUACAGGUGAAUG